rnacentral:rRNA from 1 species
GGGAAACCGGAGCUAAUACCGGAUAAUAUAUUGAACCGCAUGGUUCAAUAGUGAAAGACGGUUUUGCUGUCACUUAUAGAUGGAUCCGCGCCGCAUUAGCUAGUUGGUAAGGUAACGGCUUACCAAGGCAACGAUGCGUAGCCGACCUCGAGAGGGUGAUCGGCCACACUGGAACUGAGACACGGUCCAG